rnacentral:tRNA from 4 species
GGGGUUGUAGCUUAAUUUGGUUAAAGCCUAUCACUCAUGAUGAUACAAUUGAGUGUUCGAGUCACUUCAGCCCUA